GGCUGGAUAGCUCAGUUGGUAGAGCAGCGGACUGAAAAUCCGCGUGUCCCCAGUUCGAACCUGGGUCCAGCCACCA
rnacentral:tRNA from 2 species